rnacentral:lncRNA from 1 species
AGGCUAGUUGUAAUUUGUAUUGUUAAAUUGAUAUUUUUUAUUUAAAAAAAUGAAAACAGUAAAAAUUUUAAAAUUAAUUUUUAAUUAAAAAAUUUUAAAAUGGUUCGGUUUGAUUUUGUGCGGUUUUUGAAAAUCAAAAUCUAAACCAAAUCAUUUUGAAACGGUUUGGUUCGGUUUGAAGAAAAAGAAACCACAGGUCUACGUGGACCCGAACCAACGGUUUCAACUCAACGAUUUCGGUUCGAUUUGCAGUUUCGCGAUUUUUUUGUGCAACCCUACACCCUGUAAUUCAUUGAUUGAUAAAAGGGCAAAACUUGGGAUAGAAAAUCAAAAGGAUUCAAUGGUACAUUCUGAAAAUGGAAUCAUGUCAGAUAAAUAGAAUUAAAACUGAAAGAGUCGUGCUACAGUGCACACGUAUGGAUGAGUACGAGGUUGACACAACACACACAUGAGGGUCGAAAUUAAUUUAUUCAUGGGAGUCUCGCGCUAGACAUGUAAGGCCGCAUAGUCACAUUUUUGCACAAAAUUUGGAAGAAAAUUGCACCCUUUGGCUAACAUUAAUUAUUAGCUUUGAAUUAAAAUUUUAAUUUGAUUUUAAUUCUAGACCAAACAUGGGCAUAAUAUUAUUAUUUUUCCUAGUCAUAUGAAUUAUGUUUCAUGCGCAUGCUUCCCGACAAAAUAAAACAAAGAACUCUUUUUCAGGAGUAAAAUACUAAUUAAAAAUACUGCAGUUGAUGAAAUUGUUUAGGAAAAUGGCUUAUCAAUAAAGAUUAAUUAGAUAAAGUAUAAUCAAUACUGCUAAUUGAUUUCUGUUUCCUAAAACACAAUGUGUGGAUAACUACAUAAUGGUUUAGGGACAGAUGGAGUAUCAAAA